GGCCAAGUUCGCCGAUCGUUCGGGAGAAGUCGGGAACGCUCGCUUCCAGCCGAAGUAUUGAUCGACUCUGGUAAUGGCGGCUGUGAGCCUGGGUGGGGCAGGCACACGGGCGUCCCGGGACAAGAUCAAAAUGACACUCGAGGAUCGGAUAACGCCUAUUGUUUUAUACGCGUCCAUAUAAAACAGUACACUCUGCCUAUCUUAACCGAGAGCUCAUUCAAAGUCUGAUAAUACAGAACUCAUUUUUAAUUGAGCGACUACAGCGAAUAACUGGAUCCUUUGUACGGGUGAUAUCGCUUAUCAAAUCAAUUAAUCAAAUUGGUUCACCAUCUACGCUUCUGUUACCUUGCGUCCGUUACUCAACACAAGCAACACGCUCAGAGACCAGUCCCGGUAAGGCGUUAGAGCCUACGCACAUUUAUUUCCGCGAUUUUACCUCACGGCUAACCUACGUGAAUACUAAAUCCAAUCACUUGGCGACUAUAAACGAUCAAAGCUAAGUUGACCGGAUUCGAACUAGACAAUUAUACUUAUCCUUCCCUCUCACCUUUAAUAUACACCUCGUUCACCCUGUAUUGCGUAAGUAACAAAUCUCAACGUUGAUCAGCAUUUCAAAACUUCAAAAAAAAAAGUAACAGUGGGUAAGGUGGCAAGAUUUGGAAGGAAUUAACGUGUGGCCGACCAGACAAAGUGACGUCAUAGCUGUUAUCAAGAUAAGUCUGUCCUGGAGAAGAUACCCGACGGGCGACGAUACAAGUAAAACGUCCGGCGUUAUAUUAAGAAUUGGAUAGGACCUAGAGAAUCACAAAUGACCUCGCCCAGCUGGAUUAAAAUAACCAGGAAAAAUUACGAGGCCACGAGGUUCGACCAAAGUCUCGGAAAAUGAAAAUGGACCAGUGGAUAAGUUUCUUUUCACAGGAGACCAUGUCGGCGGAAGUGCGCAAUGUACGUGAAGAAGGUUGAAGGGAAUGACAAAAGUUAUUUAAGAGGAUAAUGCAAGUGCAAUGGCUUGAUGCACUUCCAGUUAAGAGUGCACUUGGUAGGUUGAAGAAGAAAAUAAAGGGAGGCCCUUGAGGGAAUAAAGAGGUCCGAGGAUCGAACAGAGGAAAGUACUGCGUGUCCCCAUUGAGUUGAGUUUGUUUGGCAAUGAGAAAGGGAGCGAAUUGUCAAAGUAAUUUUAAAAAUGGACACGAUCGAUCAAAAGGCGCGAAUAUUUGAAUUAGUAGCAUGGCUUUAGGCGAGUUAGCCGAGCUUGUCCUACGUGAGUACCACUUUGUUGCAGAUGAACUUUUUUCUGUUAGACAAAAAAAAAUAUAAAAACUUGAUAAAUUGAAAGGGCGUGGACACUGAGGGACCGAAAAACAGUUACCAGAUAAAUUGGCAAGAACGAGCUGGCAGUAACGUAACAAGAAAUCACGUUUACCAAAGCAUUGACGAUACCAUCAAAGCACGAGUAAUAUCCUUUGAGGGUCUUUUAGUGUAUACGCAGGAUAUUUUUUUACCAUUUACUCGUCGUCCUCCCCUUUUCGAUUCAGAAGACGCCAAUGCCAGAUCGAAGAAAUUUUCAGGGGGUUCAGGAUUCUCUCUUUCCGUCUCUAACGAGCACGAGGGCUUUCUCAAAACCCUUCAGACCUUCAAAUUGAACUGGAUUUCCCAAGAUUGAUUUAUCUGGACGUGAAUUAGAAACUUUUGAAAUUUUACGAACCACCAAGUAUUUUCAGUAUUAGUGCCAGAGGGACAAUUUCAUCUAUUUAACGACAGUGUCAAUUGAAAAAUAAUAUAUACGUAUAAAAAUAAGAUAAAAAUAGUAUACACGUAUUUGCAUACAUACAUGAAUAUUUAAAUACGUGACAACAAUCAAGCGGCAAUAAUACAUUAGAGAACAAUGUGAAGUCAAACCUGUCAAAUGACAUACGGACCAGACAUAAGAUUUUCCAAAAAAAUUCUCUUGACAAUGAAAUCCAAAUGGAAAAUCAAAUGAAAAACAGUACCAGAGUCUUGUUUACGCAAGAUACCCAAAACGUUGGACACAUUAAGAUUUUUUUCCCCAUGAAAAAAUAUUGAAGAAAUCGAUCAGGCGCACACGUGGUGUCUCUACGUGACAUUUCAAGCGGUUCGGUCGGCUUUGCCAGCCAGUCUAGUGUAAUGGCCAAAGUGUUCUCGUUGAGCGGCCCACGCAGUCUCGACAUUCAUCUACGGACCUGAGCUCUCAUUGAACCUCAACCAAGGGUCCUCAGGAACUUCUUUCCCAUAAAUAUUUCCGGACUCUCUUGGGUCUGAGGUUGAGAAACGUCUAACAAAAAAGAAGAAAAAAACCCCCAGUGAGGACACCAAGCAUCAGUCUACAGCAAGCGCUGCUUCUCAUAGAAUCUGCGCAGUUAGGGCAGCUGUGCCUUUAGAACGAAGGUGUAAAGAAUUCGAGCGGGUCGAUGGAUGCUGACAGUCAUCCAGGUCAUGGGAGGUACACGUCCACUCUGAACAUGGACACUGAUAAUCAUCCGACUUGAGGAUAUCAAAUGUUGCUGACAAAAGUACCAUUAAAAAAAAAAAAAAGCCCGAUCCAAAAUUUCGAAAUUCAAAUUACAUCAACCAUUCAACAUUCACUAUACCCAUAUGCCUCUUACUACUUUCGAGUGCCCGCAGCCAGCAAGCUCAGCAUACGCAGGGUGGGAAUUUUUCUAAGUUGAAACAAAGAAAGAAGAGGGUCCGACUAAGCCUACAGGACCUGCCUUAUCUCGUGGGAUACGCUAAUGAGACAAAAGGGGGUUCCUGAAGGACGAGAGAGAGAUGUACGGGAGCGAGCGAGAGGCCCUUAUGCGGGGAUACAAUGGCAGGUGAAGGAGUGAGUGAAAAGAAGAAUACUGUGGGAUACAAGCGAGAGAAGGACAGUUGAGACCAAGGAACAGGAUUGAAGUUGGAUGAAGGAUGGGGGGGGGGGCGUAGGGGGGCUGGCAAGGCUGAAAUGAAAUAUUGAUCUGCGGAGGCGCGCGCAACCCCUGCAACCGACCCGCCCGUUUCCACCAUUUUUCUCAAGUACUUCCUACCCCGCACAUGUCCGAAUAAAGUAAUCGAAUAGCCAUCUGGUUUAUUGGCGUCUUGGAAGAUGGUACAAAAAAUUUUUUUUUUUUAUUCCUAUCAAACCUGUACUCAAAACUACCCAUAAAAAAAUAUCCAAAAUACGUUUCCUUUUUGAACGCUAUUUUUGUAUAGUCCACAUAAAAAAAAAUCUUCAAUGGAAUACCACUGUCUAUCCCGAAUAAAGUAUUCAAACCCCCCCACCGCCAUUCAAUAUAUCAUUCAUUUACUAUACUUAUGAAUCAAUAAUUAUCAACCAAUAUCGUUAUCAGGAUUUCCAUUAAAAAUCAUUCAAGGCUCCAUUUAAGGGACUAUGAAUAAUCUGAGAUCAUUAACACGGGUCUAAGGGUACUGUGCAAUUAUAAUCCCUGUCUGAAAUUUCAACCCCCCCCUACUCCCCAAAGAAAAGCCUCAUAAUCUCAAUGCUAAUACAAAAUUAAUUUCGAAUAAAAAUAUCAAACUAAAUUAUUGAUUAAUCUCCGUACAAGCGUCAUUAAGAAUUUUCACGCCUGAUAGACUUUCAGUAAAUACACUUUUCUUAUUUGAUAUCAGCUAAUUAAUACGCCAGCCGAAUGUCCCUUCGUCCCUUCUCAAUUAAGGAAGGCUUAAGGCAAGUUUCUACGGAGGACUCAGACCAACCGUGAAUGUCCGUUCAGAUGUGAGCGAUAUUGUCAUCCAAGUAUUACCAAAAGCGAAAUAGCAAGCCGAGGUUCCUUAAUGGCUACGGUCGUUAUUAAGCUAGACAUGAUUAUCGGGGCUGAAGGGUCGGUAAAGAAGAUCCCGAUGAAUUUGCAUGUUACCAUGCGAGCAGAAGGAUAACACAAGUAUAAACGCUUAAUUACGACCGAGUUUUAUUUUUCCUAGAUUGGCCAGCGUGUUAUCGAGCACUUUCUCUCGAAGAUCGAUUACGCGUUGCAGUACCAGUGCGCGCCGAAUUGACCAGCAGACGCGCAAUGAUAACGACCAUGAAAGCGAUUAAAUAUAAUUUUUAAAUCUAAUGCCAAAAAAACAAAUUGACCGAUAAUAAUUAUCACGAUUCAAGUACCUAUAAUUAAUUACAGUAAAUUUGACUAACGUCGUUUCUUCGGCACUAUUAUUUUUUACUAGUUAACACUGACAGGCACCUGGGCAGGAAUUCAAUUAAUCAAAGAUCGACCGGACUGAUAAUCAUAUAAGAAUCAAUCAAUCAAAAUAUUCCAGCUAAUAGAAUUCCAUAAAUUCGUAUAGCAUUAAUAAUCUCCGUAUAAGUAUACAAGCAUACUGCCAGUGUAUUACGUAACCGGAAACCCGUUUCUGACAAUCUCUCGCAUCAUCUACAAGAUACAUCCGAAGACAGAGAGACAGACAAAGACAAAAAAAAAGUAUUCCUUUU